rnacentral:lncRNA from 10 species
GAACUGUCAUCGCAGUGACAAAGAAGCAAACAGGGUCUUGUUCUGUCACUCAGGCUGGAGUACAGUGGCACAAUUAUGGCUUACUGCAGCCUUCAGGCUCAAUCUAUCCUUCCACCUCAGCCUACUGAAUAACAGGUGCAUGCCACCAUGUCCAGCUUACUUUUUAAAUUUUACAUAGAGGCAGCAUUUCACCAUGUUGCCCAGGCUGGUCUUGAACUCCUGGGCUCAAGUGAUCCGUCCAUCUCAGCCUCCCAAAGUGCUGAAAUUAUAGGCGUGAGCCACUGUGCCUGGCCUAACAUUUUCUUCCUUCUCUUGCCAACAUGAUAACAACCAGAACAACACUUGCAUUCUCAAAUAAUUUUGGCAAAAAUAGGUUUCCUCUCCAGGCUUCUUAUCAAAUAUUAUUGUGACCAAUAGUUGCUGUUGUUGUUUUAAACCAGGGUUGGAUUAAAGUUUUGAGUCUUAUAAUUUUGAGUCUACAUUUCUAGCAAAUGGACCUCUUGUUUGUUUUUCUUGUCUCAUUGCAUAUGAUAGCACCUUAAGAUCGUUAUUGAAUUGGAGAGGUGAGAUGAUUGUGGUCAUCCUUUCCGUCAUGCAACUACGCUUUUCCUUCAGUGAUCAGUGUCAAUUCAUUCUCCAGCAUAUAGUUGUGGACUAUGGAAGAGAGUAAAGCGGGUGGAAUCUGAGGUGUAUACAUUAGCCUAACCUCUCAUUUUAUUUACCUUGGCUCAUUAUUCUUCCCUUCACUCUCAGCAAUCCCACCUUUGUUUUUCAGACCUCAUGCAUUAGUGGUUUUUUGUUUGUUGUUUGUUUUGUCUUGUUUUGUUGUUUUCUAGUCUCCAUUUUGCAAAUGAAGAAAGCAGCCUCCAAAAGCUGAAGGCUGGACGCAGAGAAUGAGUGACUGCCAAGUCUAUAAUCAGAAUUUUGUGGCAGUAAGUCCAACCCUUUUUCAGAAUACUAUUAUUCUGCUACUGCUGCCGCCGCUGCAUUCUGUGAGUUUGGUUUUUCUUCUAAUUUAAGUUCCUACAAGGCAGUAAUGAAAUUUUUCUAUGUUUACAUAAUGCAAAUCACUUAGCCAAUGAGGAUGGACCUUCAUUAAAUUCAGUAAUAAAUUAGUUAAGAAAAAGUUGUUAAUUGAGCUUUGAAAAAAACAGAAGUUUUUUUUUUUUUUUUUUGAAAUGGAGUCUCGCUCUGUUGCCCAGGCUGGAGUGCAGUGGCUCAAACUCAGCUCACUGCAACCUCUGCCUGCCAGGUUCAAGCGAUUCUCCUGCCUCAGCCUUUCAAGUAGCUGGGAUUACAGGCCCGUGCCACCAUGCCUGGCUAAUUUUUGUAUUUUUAGUAGAGACAGGGUUUCACUAUGUUAGCUGGGCUGGUCUUGAUCUCAGGUCAUCCACCCGCCUCGGCCUCCCAAAGUGCUGGGAUUACAGGCGUGAGCCACCGCGCCUGGCCUGGAUGUGGAUUUUUUUCUGAUGCAAUGAGAGGCCAUUGGAGGCCAUUAGGCAGGAAAAUCAAGGAUCUCAUGUUCAAUACCUGCUAUAGGCUACAUCAGAGCUUUUUCCACCUCUGACAUAAGAGAUAGCAGCUGCCAAGGGCCUGGGUUCUAUUUCCAGAAAUCCACGAAAUGACCCACUAGCGUGUGAUUUUGUAUUAAAUGUAGCAAGACUGACAUACAUCAAAUCGGGCUGAUAUAUAUUUUGCAGUUUGGCACUGACAUCCUGGUGUGUAGCUCAGAUCACCUCGGGUAGGGCCAGGUGCACAGUGUCUGAUGGAAGAGGGGAAGCCUGCCUGCAGGUAGGGGACACAACAGCAAGUGGGGUCAUUGCCUUUACCAUACUGUGUUGCAUUGCAGCUUAAAUGGAUGCAGCUAAACAGCUUUUUUUCUUCUUUGAGACAGAGUCUUGCUCUGUUGCCCAGGCUGGAGUGCAGUGGUGCGAUCUCGGCUCACCGCAAG